UACGUAGGGGGCUAGCGUUGUCCGGAAUCACUGGGCGUAAAGGGCGCGUAGGUGGCCCGACAAGUCCGUGGUGAAAGCUCGACGCUCAACGUCGAGUCGGCCAUGGAUACUGUUGGGCUGGAGCACUGUAGAGGCUCAUGGAAUUCCGGGUGUAGCGGUGGAAUGCGUAGAUAUCGGGAGGAACACCAGUGGCGAAGGCGGCUGCCUGGGCCAGUUCUGACGCUGAGGCGCGAAAGGCGUGGGGAGCAAACAGG
rnacentral:rRNA from 1 species